GACGAACGCUGGCGGCGUGCCUAAUACAUGCAAGUAGGACGCAGUUGCGAACGGGUGAGUACCGCGUAGGUAACUACCUAUUAGAGGGGGAUAACUAUUGUAAACGAUAGCUAAUACCGCAUACUAGUAGAUGGACCUGCGUUGUAUUAGCUCGUAGGUUGGGUAAUGGCCUACCUAGGCAACGAUACAUAGCCGAUCUGCGAGCGUGAUCGUCCACACUGGGACUGAGACACGGCCCAGACUCCUAAGGGAGGCAACAGGAGGGAAUCUUAGGCAAUGGGGGAACCCUGAGCGAGCAAUGACGCGGGAGUGAAGAAGGUUUUCGGAUCGUAAAGCUCUGUUGUUAAGGAAACGGUACUUAACCAGAAAGGGACGGCUAACUACGUGCCAGCAGCCGCGGUAAGUC
rnacentral:rRNA from 1 species